rnacentral:rRNA from 1 species
AUUCAACGCUGGCGGAAUGCUUUACACAUGCAAGUCGAACGGCAGCACGGGGGCAACCCUGGUGGCGAGUGGCGAACGGGUGAGUAAUACAUCGGAACGUGCCCGGUCGUGGGGGAUAACGUAGCGAAAGUUACGCUAAUACCGCAUACGAUCUGAGGAUGAAAGCGGGGGACCUUCGGGCCUCGCGCGAUCGGAGCGGCCGAUGUCAGAUUAGGUAGUUGGUGGGGUAAAGGCCUACCAAGCCGACGAUCUGUAGCUGGUCUGAGAGGACGACCAGCCACACUGGGACUGAGACACGGCCCAGACUCCUACGGGAGGCAGCAGUGGGGAAUUUUGGACAAUGGGCGCAAGCCUGAUCCAGCCAUUCCGCGUGCAGGACGAAGGCCUUCGGGUUGUAAACUGCUUUUGUAUGGAACGAAAAGGCUCUGGCUAAUACCUGGGGCUCAUGACGGUACCGUAAGAAUAAGCACCGGCUAACUACGUG